rnacentral:lncRNA from 1 species
CCACAAUGUUUUAUUUAGAGAGAAGAAAAGCUACAGUGCUUCACCAUGUACAAGAUGCGAUGCAGGAGCAUCUUAGUUGUCAACAGCUACGGUCCAAAUUGAAGAAAAUAGAUUCAAGUAAUUUCUAUUUGGGCUUUCACAUUUUAAUGAGAAGAUCCAAACUUCACUUAAGCAUUGCCAUUAUCUUCAAGAAAUGGGUAAUCAGUGUAACCAAUGACUGGAUCAGAUGUAUAGAAACUACUCCUGUCAUACUUAUUAAGAGGGGCACCAAGCUCAAAUCUCCUUGGCAAAUCCGGAUUGGCCAAAAACAAUCGACCGUAAGCAACAAGAUCAGCUCGGUUCUCAGCCACAGCAUCGUUUCCAUCAUCUCUACCAUAGCCCCCAGCAGCGAUGAAACUGCCAUUAAAUGCCUUUCUCAUUGGCACAAGACUUUGAGGACUUUCACACACCUCCAUCCCUAUUUUAAUUCUUGGCUCCACCAUAUGGCAGUAGAGAAUUCCGUAUUUGUUCAAGGCCUCAACCAUGUAGAGGCCUAAUGCUUGUGGAUCAGAGUCCACCGACUCCAUGAAUUCUGUGUAGGGAGAUAGCCUUAUUCCGACUUUAUCUGCUCCUAUUUCUUUGGCAACAGCUUCGACUAUCUCUAAGGCAAACCGGCACCGGUUUUCUAAUGAUCCCCCAUAUUGAUCUGUUCGAUCAUUUACUUGAUCUUUCAAAAACUGUUCUAUUAGGUAGCCAUGAGCUCCAUGAAUCUCAACUCCAUCAAAACCUAUAAAUCAGCCACCAAAAUUAGCACCCAUUUUAUAAUUUUAGCGAAUCCGAGACAUCCUCUAAGGUUUUUUAUUCAGAAUCUAGGAAAAAGAACAUACCAGCUUCCAUAACAUUCCUUGCUGCAAUUCUGAAAUCAUUGACAAUCUGGGGAAUUUCAUCAGUCCGUAAUCGCCUCGGAGGUGAGAAGUCCGCAAUAUCUACUUCACUAGCUCGCAGUUGUGGUGUCAACGCCUUAUCAGUAGAGGAGAUUGGAGCUUGUCCAUUUGGCUGCAAACCUGUAAACAUUUGCAAAUAAUAAACCGUUACAUGGUGCCCAAUGCCAUCACAUGAAUAUCACAAUUCACCAGAAAAGAAUCACGUGAGGCCAUGCUAUCUGGAAAUAAAGUUACAAAACAAACUUUGGGUAUCAAAAAGUAGUAUUUAUCUGGAUUCAAAACCUACGUUUUCCUUUUAUAUAAUUUGGCUAGAACCCUUACAUCAUAGCAUGCAGCAAUAAAGUAUCGGAGAUAAGAAUUCAGACAUUAGUGCAUUGAUUUUUCAAUCAUCCAUUCACUUUUGAAUUUUCAUGUAAAUGUCACUGAAUUUGGUCACAGACAGAGAAGACAAAAUGGAGGUGUUGUAAGAGAAGAAGAAGAAACCUGUAUUUGAAACCCUUCCAACAUGCCAAAUCUGACAAAAGAAAAUUCCACCUUUCGCAUGAACAGCAUCAACAAUGGGUUUCCAGGCCUCAACUUGCUCUUUCGUCCAUAUACCAGGUGCAUCUGGAUACCUUCAUUAAUUUGGGGAAGGGGUGUGUCAUUAAAUUGAUAUUUGAGGUUUAGAAAAAAAAGAGAGCAAAAUUUCAACUUUUUGAGAUUGAUUACCCUUGAGCUGUAUCAGAAACUCCAGUAGCCUCAGCCAGCAAAAGACCUCCUUUGGAAGCUCUCUGGGAAUAGUAUAGAAUGGCAUGUGGUUGAGGAACAUUAUUGUAAGAUCUUUGUCUAGUCAAUGGAGCCAAUACAAUUCUGAAACAAGACAAAGAGAGGUAAAAUUAUGAAGCUAGUCGAUCGAUUGCCAUUGGUAUUUUACAGCAAAAAAGUUAUGCGAAGUGGGAUUUUCAGCUAAACAAAACUAUGCUGAUUCAAUAGGAAAUGAGGGUUGAGAUUUUGCAUCAGAAAUUAUACAAACAAUAUAAUGGGAACCAAAAAGCUAGGAAGAAUGCAAAACUCCUGUUACUGAGAAAUCAGAAAAAAGGGUUUGUUGCAGUAAUUACCUAUGAGAAAGAUUGAAUUUGCCAAGUUUGUAGGGGGUGAGAAGAGGUUGAAUGGUGGUAUCUUCCAUUUCAAUUAAAUUGAACAAAUGGGUAUAAAUUGAUUCUGCUUGUAAGGAGUUAAAACACUUGUUUUGGUUAUGCAAAUUUGCCGAGAUAAGGAAGGGGAUAAUGGGUGGAGGGGCAUAUAUAAUAAAGCGGGAAGAAAGGUAAUGUAGAUGAUGACGAGGGAGAGUACGUUAGCAGUGUGUUCUAGUUUGCCAUUUUUGGUUUUGCAUCUUUAGGCGCAGCCCUGUUGACCAACGCUACACUCCCUCGCCCCUGCUUCCUUUAAAACCAAAAUGAAACCAGUGGUAAUCAUCUAUUUUUAAUUUCAUCGGUUUUAUUGCAUAAAUAUUAAAAAAAAACUGUAUAUUAAAAAAAAAAAAAGACACGGAUACAAUAUUAAUAACAUAUUAAUUUCAAAAAAAUAAUAUUUGAAAAAUAACUUUUACACAAAGUAGCAUAUUAAUAUGUUCAUAAUUUACUAAAUUCUCUAUAAAAGUAUUACAUGCCUUUGUAUUAAUAGUCUGAUUGCGUUCUACUCUUUUUACUAAAAAAUAGAAUUUUUUUUUAUGUUAGAUGAAAAAACAAAUUGAUAUUUUUGUUAAAAAUUUUUAUCCAUUUUUACUAUAAAAAAACUUGCAUAGCUCAUAAAAUAACCAGGCAAUUAAAUGUGACUUGCCAAUGUAUAACAUUUUGUAUAAGGAAUAAUUUUUAACCGUAGAUUGCGUUGUAUCCCCACAAAACCCCCUGUACUAUAUUGUGAAUUGCAUUUUUUCCCCUCCACUGAAAAAAUAAACAAAUUAACCCAUGCACGUUAGAUGAGGUAGCAAAACGACCAUUCCGUUAAAAUUUGAAGUUUAUAUAUAAGGUAUGAUAACAAAUUUAACCCUCAAUCUUUACAUAUUUAUUUAAUUUAAUCCCGACUCUUUUGUUGGAAGUAAAUUAAAAAAAAUUUAAACUAAUAAAGUUAAAGGGUCAAAAGCCUUAGCAAAUUUUUUUAAUAAAAUAGGAAAAGGGCAAAUAACCAAUAAAAUCCCCUUUAUUUUUAAAAUUACCGAAAUGGGUCAGGUCCUAAAUUAAAUACCAAAAUGGACCAUUUCUCCCAAAAAUGCGUCCACGUCAUCGCAUUAUCAGGGGAUAAAGCAGGAAAACGCUUCCUUGAGGGCGCGCUUUGUGUCCACGUGGACAAAGCGCUUCCCUGAGGAAGCACUUUUUCUGUUUGUUAGGGUUUAGGAUUUUUUACAAUUAGGGUUAGGAUUUUGGAGUUUUUGAGUUUUUAGAUUUUAGGGUUUUAAGGAAAAAUUAAUUAAAUAAAGGUUUAGGGUUUCUUAAUUAAAUUAAUUAUAAAUUUUAAAAAAUUUAUAAAUUAUUUAUAAAUUAUUUAUUAAGUCUAACUUUAUUUAAAUAUAGUUAAAUAUUAAUUACAAUUAUUAUAUUUUUUCUCGAAUUUUGAUUUUAAACAUCUAUAGUUUAAAAAAUAUAUUAAAUAUUAAAAUAUUAAAAUUUAUGUUAAAUUCUACUAAAUAAAGUUAUUAAUACCUAUUUAUAAAUCAUUCACUAACAAUCAAUAAAAUAUUUACCCAUCAUCUUAAGACCUUAAGGAAUUAUUAUCCCUAAAAUAUUCUAUUAUUAAUAUGAUUGUAUUAUAUUAAAUUUCAUGUAUUUUUUUUUGCAUAUUAUAUUAUAUUAAUAUUUUUAAUUUAUAAUAAAUUUAAAAUUAUAGCAAAAGAUAAAUUUAAUAUAUAUAUAUAUAUAUAAACUUUUAACUAUUUUUCUGUUUUUCAUAAAAAAAACUCUUUUUCUAUUUUAAAAUUUAAAAAUACAAAAAUUCUUUAUAUAUUUUAUUUUUAAUUUAUUAUUAAAAAAUUCUUUUAAUAAAUUUAAUUUUUACUAAAAAAUUUAAUUUUAUUAGUUUAUUUUUUUAGAAUAGUUUAAAAUAUAUAUUGAAUAACAUCUAGUUUUAUUUGAUUUUUUGUUAAAACCCUAAAUACUAAACCCCAAUCUAAAUUUUUUAAAAUUUAUAAUUAAUUUACUCAAGUAACUCUAAACCCUAAUUUAUUUGUUUUUUCCUUAAAAACCCUAAACACUAAACCGUAAUCUAAUUUUUUUAAAGUUUAUAAUUAAUUUAUUUGCCCUAGUUAAACUCUUUUAAAAUUUAAAAAUGAUUGAAAAAUCAUAAAAAAUAAAAAAGUUAUUAAAUUAUUAAAUAUAAGAUUUAAAAAAAAUUGACCCCUACGUCAUUUCAUUGAUAAGCAAGCCUAACGUCAUUGAUGAGAUAGUCCAUCCCUUAGCCGCCAAUGACCACCUUUGCUUUUAUGAUCCCACUUAAAUUUAAAUUGUAAUAUUUUUAGAACGAAUCGGUUGAAAUAACACUGAAUUGAUUUUAAAGUUUAAGUUUAUAUGAUUUUUUUUCCAAAAAAAGACUUUGGGUUCAUAUUAGUUUGUGUUUGUAGGUUUAAGGGUUUUUUUUUUAGUUUUGAUUAUUAUGAAUUUUUUUGUGUUGAUGGAGGAACCGAUUUUUAUAGGAUAAGUCAUGUCUUCAAAGUGUCGUCUUUGGGGUAGUUGACUCAAACUAGAGAUAAUCAUGGGCCGGGCUGGGCCGGAUUCGAGCUGAGCCCAUAAAAAAUUGUAGCUCGCUUCCUAGGCCCGGGCCCAACUCCUGCCGAAAUAUGGGCCUAAUUUUUUAGACCCGGCCCAAAAAUACUAAGCCCGAGCCCAGCCCGGCCCAACCUUUUUUUUAUGAUAGAAAAAAAUGAUUUUAUUAUUUUAAUAGCCUAUAUUUUUAUAAUUUUUAAAAGAUUAAAUUAACUUUUUUUAUCAUUUGAGGGGCAAAGUGUAAUUUUAGCAUUACUAUUUUAAAAUUUUAUAAAUUAUAAAGAGUUAAAAAAAGAAUUUUUAUUUUUAUUUUAGAGUAGAACCCUUGCCCAAAAAAUAUCAUAUCAACAAAUUUAACAAUACUAAUAAUUAAAAUUAAAUUUUAAAAUUUGAAAUAUAAAAAUUAAAAAUUUUAAAAUAAAAAUAAAAAAGAGGGAAGGGCUUAGGGAAAUGGGAAGUGGGGAGGGGAAAUGAGAAUUUUUUUAAAAUAUAUAUAUUUAUUAUAUUCAGGCUGGGCCAGGCUAGUCUCGGGCCAAAAAAUUUUUGCCUGAGGCCCAGCCUAUUUUUUGCCCAAACCCAUAUUUUGGGCCUACAUUUUUACCCAAAUCCUCCCAUAUUUCGGGCGGGCAGUUGGGCUGAGCCGGGCCGCCCGGCCAUGAUCACCUCUAACUCAAACCAUCAACAAUUGAAUGUAUGUCAGGGUUUUGUCCUCACCCUCCAAUGAGAGCCAUAUAUGGUUCAUGAAAUGGAGGCGCCUUGAUCGGUGGAGAUAGAUACCAACAAGACUUGAGAUAACUGUUAGUGUAAUAGCCCGAUUUUCAGUGAUGUAGGAAACAGUGGUUCGAGACCACCAAAUCCGAAAAAUGAGCUCAUAAAUUUUAUUAUUUAAAAUUUACGAGUAAAAUGAGGUUUUUAAAAGAUUUUUGAAUUAGAAAGUUUGUGGUCAUAAGGAUUUAUUAGAUUAAUUAAUUUGAAAAAGAAGUAUCGAGACCUCAAUGUUAAUUAAUUUGGAAUAGCAAUAAAAUUAAAGGUAAAUCAUAUUAAUUUUCACUCGAUUAUUAAAAACAUUUGUAUAGAUCAUUCGACUUCAAAAAGUUACAAAAUAAUCAUUUAAUUUAUUUAAAAAAAUUAAAUCCAAAAUUGUUAAAUACUUUAACCGUUAUGUUAAUGACUUAUUUUUGUAACAUUCAUUUUUAAUACACAUCAUUUCCAUCUCAUAUAAUAAUUUAAAAAAUAUUAACCCAAAUUACCCACCCGUCCCGCUCCCCUCCAAGCUCCCUCCCUUGGUUCAUGGUGCUGGAGGUCUAAACAAGAAUGUUCCUCCCACGAGUUGAAAUCUUGUGAAAUAAUGUGGAUGAGUUAUCAAAAUUUUAAACUCUGUAAUCUUAAUUAGUAAGAUAAGGUUAUUAUGGAAGAAAAAUGUUAUGACAUAAUUAGAAAGGAAAAAUAUUUUAUAUACUAACACUGCAAAAUAUUAAAAAAUAACUUAUAAAAGUAUCGUAAAAUAUUGUGGAAUAAAAAAAAUUACCAAAAACUUUAGUUUAACUACAAAAUAAAGAAGUUGUUCGUUCUUAAAAAAAUGUUAAUCAUUAAAUUAGAUGUUAAGACUAUUUAAUCAGUUUGUUCACUAAACUAUCCUUUAUUUAAGAAAAAAAUGAGAAAAUAUGGUCAAAUUUGGAAUCUUGACACAGGUUUACUAACAAAAUUAGAUUUUAAUAUUGAAUAAUAACGGUCCACAAUGUUUUAUUUAGAGAGAAGAAAAGCUACAGUGCUUCACCAUGUACAAGAUGCGAUGCAGAAGCAUCUUAGUCGUCAACAGCUACGGUCCAAAUUGAAGAAAAUAGAUUUAAGUAAUUUCUAUUUGGGCUUUCACAUUUUAAUGAGAAGAUCCAAACUUCACUUAAGCAUUGCCAUUAUCUUCAAGAAAUGGGUAAUCAGUGUAACCAAUGACUGGAUCAGAUGUAUAGAAACUACUCCUGUCAUACUUAUUAAGAGGGGCACCAAGCUCAAAUCUCCUUG